rnacentral:rRNA from 1 species
CAAUGGAGGCAACUCUGAUCCAGCCAUGCCGCGUGAGUGAWGAAGGCCUUAGGGUUGUAAAGCUCUUUCWCCRGUGAAGAUGAUGACUGUAGCCGGUAAAGAAGCCCCGGCUAACUUYGUGCCARCAGCCGCGGUAAUAYGAAGGGGGCUAGCGUUGUUCKGAAUYWCUGGGYGUAAAGCGCGCKUAGGCGGCUUGAUCAGUCAGAGGUGAWAUCCCGGGGCUCWACCCCGGAACGGCCUUUGAUACUGUCAAGCUAGASCUYGKAAGAKGGUGGYGGAAUAUCCAGUGUAGAGGUGAAAUUUGUAGAUAUUUGAUAGAACACCAGUGGCGAAGGCGGCCCCCUGGUCCGUAGCUGACGCUGAGGUGUGAAAGCGUGGGGAGCAAACACGAUUAGAUACCCUGGUAGUCCACGCCGUAAACGAUGAGUGCUAGUUGUCUGGCAGUAUACUGUUCGGUGACGCAGCUAACGCAUAAGCAUCUCCGCC